UACGUAGGGUGCGAGCGUUACUCGGAAUUACUGGGCGUAAAGCGUGCGCAGGCGGUUGUGUAAGACAGAUGUGAAAUCCCCGGGCUCAACCUGGGAACUGCAUUUGUGACUGCACGGCUCGAGUGCGGCAGGAGGGGGAUGGAAUUCCGCGUGUAGCAGUGAAAUGCGUGAGAUAUGCGGAGGAACACCGAUGGCGAACGGCAAUCCCCUGGACCUGUACUGACGGCUCAUGCACGAAAGCGUGGG
rnacentral:rRNA from 1 species